AACGGAUUGCUGGACAUCAGCUUCUAAUGAAAGUUAUAUUGCUGUGACUGGACACUUCAUAAAUGAACAAUUCAGAUUACAGUCUGUACUGCUGGAAUAGUCAUUUCAGUGGUUUCCAUACCAGCUCAAAUUUGUCCAAGUUAGUCUUGGUGGCAAAAUUUUAAUGGUGGUCACGGACAAUGCACCAAAUAUGAAAAAUGGAGUUACCACCAUCCUCAAGUGGAAACAUUAUGGUUGUUACGCGCAUACUCUUUAAUUUAGUUGUGCAGGAUGCACUUGAAAAUGUUCAGGUAGUUCACCAGAAAGUCAAGACAAUUGUAGGUUUUAUUAUUUUAUUUUUUUAAAGGAGCAGCAGUGCAACAGAGUGGCUCUUAACAUGCCAACAGAACAGUGGCAAAGUAAACAUCAAGAAAUUGAUACAGGACUUGCCCACAAGGUGGAAUUCAACCCUGUUUAUGUUGGAAUGUAUUGUUGAAUUAUCAGAGGCAGUAAAAUUACAUUUUCCCUUUGUAACAGGCCCACAGAGCUUCCAUCACUGUCAAAUGAGUGGGAAAUCUGCUCUGAACUCUGUUCAAUUUUUGAAACCGUCUGAGCAGGUUUCGAGGCAUCUCAGUGCAGAGGAGUACCCAGCCGACAGCUUGGUUUUAGUCCUGACACAUGGCCUUCUGGCAGUGUGUGAUGAAAUAGCCAAAAUGCGGUUACAUGAAGUUUCAAUGAAAGUUGUUGAUGCACUGAAAGAGGGGCUUACGAACCGGUUUUCGAAUCUUGAGCAGAGCAAAUCCAUUGCCCUUGCUACUCUGCUGGAUCCAUGAUUCAAAUUGCUGGCAUUUCAGAACCAGACAGCAGAAGAGAACACGAAGAAACAGUUAAUUAAUAUUGUUGCCCAUAAAUUGGAAAAAUGUAUGCCAGGAGGUAUUCAGCCUUCACAACAACCUGCUGAGCCAAAUAAUUUGGCAACUGAGUCCUCUGUGUGGGGCAUAUUUGAUAAGUUAGGGAAACAUGCACAGCCACAGGGCACAGUACAGUCAUGUGCUAUUGUAGAGGUUCAAAGAUAUGUUGACAGCUCAGUCAUCAGUAGAAAUGAGGAUCCUCUGGCAUGAUGGAGACAAAAUCAGUACAUAUACCCAACCAUUGCAAAAGUAGUGCGACAGAGCCAUCGAAUAUAGAAAAACUAUUUCUGAAUGCCAGUGGUACUUGUGAUUAGACACUUGCUGAAAAUUGUGGACAACUCUAUAAUGCCUAGGAAAAUGUAAAAUAUGUAACAGGGCUCUUUAAACACAACCAAACAAGACCUCACAACUGUAUGAUGUUUAGCAAAAUGUAAAAUAUAAAGGUGACAGAGGAACAGGUCAUACUGGGAGUAGUAUGUCUGUGAGUUGGAUGGAGCACAGUAACUGAUUUGAUACCAUCAAAGCACAAAGCUUUGUAGUGAUUAAAAUGGUGAGUGAAUGUAAAUAAAGAAAUAACACUUCCAGUAUACUAAAACCUGCUACUUUAAGCUACAUUUCAGAAAUAUCUUGAGCACCUCAACUUCAAAAAUAGCAGGAAUACCAUCUAGAAUGAGUGACGACAGUCAGUCAAUGAUAAUCCAUGAGCUUAGGCUGAAGGAAAAUAAAUUCUAUAUAUUUAAUAAAAGUUGAUUAUAAUGUGUGAUGUAGACAAAUAAUAAUCUGUUUUGUGCUAUCUUUUACAUAAUCUUGGUGGCAACAUGUGGAGCAAAACUGGAAUGAGCAAAGAAUACCAACCAAAUUUAAGACCCAAAAAGAGCCACGACCAGUGGUGGAACACACACAAGUUUGAAAAAUUUGUUCCAAAUGCAGACUAACAGUGAUUUUGUUGAUUGUAGAUGUACAUAUGUUCCUGUCUCCUGCUAAAAAUGAUGCACCAUCCCAACCAGCAAAUUUUACUUUGUUAUUUAGAACUUUUUAAAUUGCAUUAAUUAAGAGCCACCUGCACUUUGAGAUGACUAAAACUGUUGAGAUUUUAUUAGUGAUCCAAUAAAAAGAUUAACAUGUGGGACAUGUGAAAUGUGUGAACAUAUUUGUUUUGCUCAUACUUGUACAAAUGCUUCAUGUAACCUGACGAGGCAAAGAAGAUCCCUCAAGAUUGCAACAUGAAAUAUUUAAUACGUAGCACAACUGUACACAGUUGAUAACGUCCUUCUGGGGUUUUGAGGAGCUGGUUUUCCUUCAGACCAUGGGCAAAUGCCAGGACGUAUGAGAAGUUUCCAGCUCAGAAAAUGCUCAUUUUUAUGAAUUUGUCAGUAAAAUGCUGUAGAUAAAUACCAAAAGAAAAAUGCUUCCUGUAACACAGAUAUUUUAUUAAAAAUGUGUCAUAAUAAUGCAAGUUGUAACUUUUAUAAAUAUUUAGUCUGUGUAACUUGUAAAACUGAAUUAAUUAUGUAGCUUGUCUACAUAACAAUGUAACUGUAUUUACACCAACAUUGUAUGAUUUAAUAUUUACUGACAGUGCCA